rnacentral:tRNA from 1 species
GAAAUAAAUUAAUUAGAACUUCUAAUUCUAAAAAUUAAUGUUAUAUCAUUAUUAUUUCU